rnacentral:rRNA from 1 species
GGACCCGACUGCUAUCAAAGUGGGACUAACCCAUGCGAGUCAACAUAGCAAUAUGUGGCAUACGGCUCAGUAACACGUAGUCAACAUGCCCAGGGGACGUGGAUAACCUCGGGAAACUGAGGAUAAACCGCGAUAGGUCAUCACUUCUGGAAUGGGUAAUGACUUAAAUCUAUAUGGCCCCUGGAUUGGACUGCGGCCGAUCAGGCUGUUGGUGAGGUAAUGGUCCACCAAACCUGUAACCGGUACGGGCUCUGAGAGGAGGAGCCCGGAGAUGGGCACUGAGACAAGGGCCCAGGCCCUAUGGGGCGCAGCAGGCGCGAAACCUCUGCAAUAGGCGAAAGCUUGACAGGGUUACUCUGAGUGAUUUCCGUUAAGGAGAUCUUUUGGCACCUCUAAAAAUGGUGCAAAAUAAGGGGUGGGCAAGUCUGGUGU